ACCCCUAAUAAUUAAAAUCUACUGAAAUAUCAGCUAAACGAUUAUUGGGCUGUGUUUUCCGUUCGGGAUGCCGCGUAGGGAGAAAAACUGGUUUUUAAAGAAGAAACAAAGUGUUUAUGACUGAUGCCGUCAAAGUACUUGUAAUUUAACAAAGGGAAAAUGCGGGUAUUGGGUAUUGCACGGUGGAUGGAUUUUAUUUAAUUUUAAAUUUAAUUUAUUUUAUUUUAAUUGAAGUUUUCCUUAUAUGUAGUUCUUGGACAGAGUUAUAUUAUACGUUCUUUUCUCGUUGACAAUGACUUAGGAACUCCGCUUAAUGUUAAAGCUUAUAAAGAGCUACAGCAUAAUUGACUGGCGCCUCGUGUUAACAUAACCGUUUAUUCGAUGGCUUAUCUUGAGCUUGAGCAUGUUGAUAAGAUCCACAGCGUUAUCUGCAUAAGCCAGCGGAUGAAGGGCGAGAGAAACUAACCAAAAAUAACUACACUAAAAAAGGGAUGCCAAUUUGGUGGAACGGUGGUGUGUGCUGACUUUGUAUAUAUAAAUAUAUGUCAAUACAUUUUGUGAAACUUGUGCGGAAUGUGCCACUUGUGGUGUGCAGAUUAUGCUUCCGAUCGGAAAGAUCAAAAAAAUAUAUAUAUAUUUUUUUUUUUCGCACAAAACGGAGGCCUUACCGGUCGAGCGGCCAAUUUGGCGGAACGGGGUUUGUGCUGAUAAUAUACAAAUAUAUGUCGAUAUAUUUUGUGGAACUUGCGCGGAAUGUGCCACUUGUGAAAAUGGAGGCGGUGAAGCGGGACUGUGCGGAAGAAAUAUAUAAAUUACACGUAUUACACGUAUUGCAUUCGUUAAUUAUGUUUUGUAUUAAUUUUAUGUAGUCUGGGUAAAAAUAUGAGUUUCUAAAGUCUAUUAUCAUUUUUUGUAUUCCUUGAUGAAUUUUAUUUUUGUGUAUUUUAAUAAUAAGGUCUUUAAAUUCUGAAUAGCUACUUAUAUUUAUAAGAUUUUUUGUAGCUUUAUAGAGUUUAGUUCCAGUGUUUGGUCGAAUAAUUUUUAUAUAUUAUUAUAUUAUAUAUAUAUAUUUAUAUAUUUUAUAUUAUUUGAAAAAUAACAAAAUCAUUAAUAUUUUCGAACAAAGUAGUAGAGGUUCGUCCACAAAUGGCUUCUAGUAUUAUAUCGCUUCCCUUUUCACUGGUCAUUUCA